rnacentral:rRNA from 2 species
UACGUAGGUCCCGAGCGUUGUCCGGAUUUAUUGGGCGUAAAGGGAGCGCAGGCGGUCAGGAAAGUCUGGAGUAAAAGGCUAUGGCUCAACCAUAGUGUGCUCUGGAAACUGUCUGACUUGAGUGCAGAAGGGGAGAGUGGAAUUCCAUGUGUAGCGGUGAAAUGCGUAGAUAUAUGGAGGAACACCAGUGGCGAAAGCGGCUCUCUGGUCUGUCACUGACGCUGAGGCUCGAAAGCGUGGGUAGCGAACAGG